rnacentral:rRNA from 1 species
GACAUAGGCCUCAAGCGUUAGGCGGAAUCACUGGGCUUAAAGCGUGUGUAGGCGGACGCCUAAGUGUCUUGUGAAAUCCCCCGGCUCACCCGGGGAACUGCUGGGCAUACUGGGCGUCUUGGGCCAACUAGGGGCAACUGGAACAAGCGGUGGAGCGGUGAAAUGCGUAGAUAUCGCUUGGAACGCCGAAGGUGAAAACAGGUUGCUGGGGUUGUGCCGACGCUGAGACACGAAAGCCAGGGGGGCAAACGGG